rnacentral:rRNA from 1 species
UACGUAGGGUGCGAGCGUUGUCCGGAAUUAUUGGGCGUAAAGAGCUCGUAGGCGGCCUGUUGCGUCUGCCGUGAAAGCCCGGGGCUUAACCCCGGGUCUGCGGUGGAUACGGGCAGGCUAGAGUUCGGCAGGGGAGACUGGAAUUCCUGGUGUAGCGGUGAAAUGCGCAGAUAUCAGGAGGAACACCGGUGGCGAAGGCGGGUCUCUGGGCCGAUACUGACGCUGAGGAGCGAAAGCGUGGGGAGCAAACAGG